CGUAACUCCUUGCUGCACAAAGCCUCGCACGAGAGCGCCAUCUGACAGGAGGGCCCGGGGUCCCCCGCCAGCCCUGCGGGGGCCUCCCCAGUGGGCCCACGUGAAGAUAGGGAGCCUCUUAGGCCAGAAGGGGUGCAGAUAGCCU
ensembl:miRNA